GAUGAACGCUGGCGGUGUGCCUAAUACAUGCAAGUCGUGCGGAAAGGCUCUUCGGAGUACUCGAGCGGCGGACGGCUGAGUAACGCGUGGGAACGUACCCCAAAGUGAGGAAUAACUGCCCGAAAGGGUAGCUAAUGCCGCAUAUUGUCUUUGGAUUAAAGGAUUUAUCCGCUUUGGGAACGGCCUGCGUACGAUUAGAUUGUUGGUGAGGUAAUGGCUCACCAAGUCGACGAUCGUUAACUGGUCUGAGAGGAUGAUCAGUCAGACUGGAACUGAGACACGGUCCAGACUCCUACGGGAGGCAGCAGUGAGGAAUCUUCCACAAUGGGCGAAAGCCUGAUGGAGCAACGCCGCGUGCAGGAUGAAGGCCUUCGGGUUGUAAACUGCUUUUAUAAGUGAAGAAUAUGACGGUAACUUAUGAAUAAGCACCGGCUAACUACGUGCCAGCAGCCGCAGUA
rnacentral:rRNA from 1 species